AUGAUUCCACUUGUUUUUGUAAAUUUUAUACAUGGAUUGAGAAGACCAAUUCUCAAUUACAUAUGCAAAAAUUUCUUACAUUUCGUGGUGUUAAAAUUGUGCAUGUUUUUAGUGAACACUUUAAAGGCUAUGAAGGAAAUGAGCAAUAUUUUACCUAGAAAAAAGAAGAAUAAAGUUCAUCUAUAGGGUCAACCUGAUAGUUUGAUUCAGAUUGUUAUUUUUCUAUUUAUGUAUUUAUUUAUUUUGAUUGAUACAUUGGAAAGAAACCAGUUUUGCUAAUAUGUUUAGUUUUGGCAUGGUUUCUGUCUCAAAUUGGGAAAGUUGUGGACAAUUUGUCAAACAAGUGAUGUUUGGUCUCUUGUACAUUCUAUAUUGAGUUCUCUAUUCUUUUGGGUAAAUGGGUGAAAUUGUAAGUCUUUGGCGGAUUUUGUGGAUAGCUUGAGAGUAUAGCUGGCCUCUUUUGGUCUUCUGUGUGGUUGUUCUCUGGGUGCUCUCCUCUCUUGAGGCCCUUUUUUUUUCAGAAAAAGGAAAAUAAGAAGCUUUUUGUGUUGGAUUGUGUUGGAUCCUAUUGUUAUUACCGAUGCAUCGGCAGAAGCAUUCUUUGCUGAUAGAUAUUGUUGUUUGGUUGUCAUAGAAAAAGUUGAGCGAUUAGAUGUCGGAGCCUUACUCUCUAUCAGAGUUGUAGGUCGUGUCACAAUUGUGAAAGUGCAGAGGAUGAUGUAAUGGACGAUGAAAUUGACCAUGAAUUACUGUCGGAGGCAGAUAAUGCUUGGGCCCAGCGGGAAUGGUCAAUCCAGCAUGUCUUGUUUCCCUCCAUGAGACUCUUUCUCAAGCCCCCAAACUUGAUGGCAACAAACGGAACAUUUGUCAAGGUAGCUUCACUGGAGAAACUUUACAAGACUUUCGAAAGAUGCUAACAAGAACAGUUCCAGUCAGACGUAUUGACACAGAAAUUAAGUUGCUGACAUGUCUUGUUUCCAUAGGCUGCCGCCAUGUGUACGUGCCAAAAGACACUUUCGGUGAAAUACUACUGUAAUUCCUACGGGUCAUGGGGUUUAGUUAGGAAUAUACAUCCAUCAUCUGUAAACAACACAGUGGGUGUUUGUAUAUGUUUCUUUUUCUCUCUUGCUGUGUCUUUUGGGGUGGUUUAACAUUCUGCCUCUGUUUGACUGUUCUUGCUGGGUAAUAUAAGUGAUAAUUGACAGUGGUGCUUC